rnacentral:rRNA from 1 species
GUAAGACCCCUUAGAGAUGAUGAGGUUGAUAGGUCAGAAGUGGAAGCGUGGCGACACGUGGAGCGGACUGAUACUAAUCGGUCGAGGACUUAUCCUAUA